AUUGAACGCUGGCGGCAUGCCUUACACAUGCAAGUCGAACGGUAACAGGUCUUCGGAUGCUGACGAGUGGCGAACGGGUGAGUAAUGCAUCGGAACGUGCCCAGUAGUGGGGGAUAGCCCGGCGAAAGCCGGAUUAAUACCGCAUACGACCUGAGGGUGAAAGGGGGGGAUCGCAAGACCUCUCGCUAUUGGAGCGGCCGAUGUCAGAUUAGCUAGUUGGUGGGGUAAAGGCCUACCAAGGCAACGAUCUGUAGUUGGUCUGAGAGGACGACCAGCCACACUGGGACUGAGACACGGCCCAGACUCCUACGGGAGGCAGCAGUGGGGAAUUUUGGACAAUGGGCGCAAGCCUGAUCCAGCAAUGCCGCGUGCAGGAAGAAGGCCUUCGGGUUGUAAUCUGCUUUUGUCAGGGAAGAAAUCUUCUGGGUUAAUACCUCGGGAGGAUGACGGUACCUGAAGAAUAAGCACCGGCUAACUACGUGCCAGCCGCCGCAGUAAUAC
rnacentral:rRNA from 1 species